rnacentral:rRNA from 1 species
ACGCUCGACACCUACGGGAGACAGCAGUGGGGAAUAUUGCACAAUGGGGGAAACCCUGAUGCAGCGACGCCGCGUGGAGGAAGAAGGUCUUCGGAUUGUAAACUCCUGUUGUUGGGGAAAAAGAGGAUGGUACCCAACAAGGAAGUGACGGCUAACUACGUGCCAGUAGCCGCGGUAAUCUGAGCGGGCUGGCAAGGC